AUUGAACGCUGGCGGCAGGCCUAACACAUGCAAGUCGAACGAGUGGCGGACGGGUGAGUAAUGUCUGGGAAACUGCCCGAUGGAGGGGGAUAACUACUGGAAACGGUAGCUAAUACCGCAUACCAUCGGAUGUGCCCAGAUGGGAUUAGCUUGUAGGUGAGGUAACGGCUCACCUAGGCGACGAUCCCUAGCUGGUCUGAGAGGAUGACCAGCACCACGGGAACUGAUACCCGGUACAGAGUAAUGCGGGAGGAAGCAGUGGGGAAUAUGGCACAAUGGGCGCAAGUCUGAUGCAGCCAUGCCGCGUGUAUGAAGAAGGCCGUCGGGUUCUAAACUACGUUCAGCGGGGAGGCGUUACCCGCAGAAGAAGCACAGGCUAACUCCGUGCCAGCCGCCGCGGUAAUUC
rnacentral:rRNA from 1 species